rnacentral:snRNA from 1 species
GUGCUUGCUUCAGCAGCACAUAUACUAAAACUGGAAUGAUAUAGAGAAGAUUGGCAUGGACCCUGCACAAAGAUGACACAUAAAUUCAUGAAGCAUUCCAUAUUUGU